UCCGUAGGUGAACCUGCGGAAGGAUCAUUACACUCAGUAGAUCUCUACUGCUCAGGGAGAGGGGAAAGUUUUCAGCAUGCUUCGGCGGCUGGUGACGAGUACGCUCUCUAUCUGAACCCUUGUCUUUUUGUGUACUCUUGUUUCCUCGGCGGGCCUGCCCGCCGGCUGGACAACUCUAUAACCUUUUUUAAUUCUCAAUCAGCGUCUGAAUAAAUAUAAUAAUUACAACUUUCAACAACGGAUCUCUUGGUUCUGGCAUCGAUGAAGAACGCAGCGAAAUGCGAUAAGUAGUGUGAAUUGCAGAAUUCAGUGAAUCAUCGAAUCUUUGAACGCACAUUGCGCCCCUUGGUAUUCCAUGGGGCAUGCUUGUUCGAGCGUCAUUUGUACUCUCAAGCUUUGCUUGGUGUUGGGUGUUUGUCCUUGCCUUUGUGUUUGGACUCACCUUAAAUUCAUUGGCAGCCAGUGUAUUGGUUUGAAGCGCAGCACAAUUUUGCGGUUUUGACUGAUUUAUCAUUCGCGUCCAUAAAAGCACAAUUAACACUUUUGACCUCGGGAUCAAGUAGGGGGGAUACCCGGCUGGAACUUAAGGCAUAUCAAUAAGGCGGGAGGGAAGGUCGGACUGGCCAAGGGGCACACAGGGGGGGGGGAUA
rnacentral:rRNA from 1 species